UACGGAGGGUGCAAGCGUUGCUCGGAAUUAUUGGGCGUAAAGGGUAGGUAGGUGGUCUUAUUUGUCUGGGGUGAAAGCCUUGAGCUUAACUCAAGAAGUGCCCCAGAAACGGUGAGACUAGAGUCCUGGAGAGGGUCGUGGAAUUCCCGGUGUAGCGGUGAAAUGCGUAGAGAUCGGGAGGAACACCAGAGGCGAAAGCGGCGACCUGGACAGGCACUGACACUCAACUACGAAAGCGUGGGGAGCAAACAGGG
rnacentral:rRNA from 1 species